AUAAAGUUUUAUUUUGGCUUAUAAAUUUGUUAUUAGUUUGAUUUAUAUGUAAAUUUUUGUGUGAUUUUAUAUUUAUUUUAAUAAUAAAUAUAUUUUGUAAUUAUUCGCAGUAAUUAAUUUUAUUUAUUAAAGAAAUUUAGAAAUAGCAAUAUUAAAGAGUAUUGACUAAAUUGGUGCCAGCAGUCGCGGUUAUACCAAUAAUACUAAUAAAUUUUUUUAGUAAUAGUUAAAUAAAUUAUAUAAAAAUAAAAUUAAAUAUAUUAAGUGAAAUUUUAUAUUUAAAAUAUUUUUUAAAAUUUUAAUUGAAGCUAUAAAAUUUUAAUAAAAAACUAGGAUUAGAUACCCUAUUAUUUAAAAUGUAAAUUUUUAUACUAAAGUAGUAAUAGUUAUGUUCUUGAAACUUAAAAAAUUUGGCGGUAUUUUAGUCUAUCCAGAGGAACCUGUUUUGUAAUCGAUAAUCCACGAUGGACCUUACUUAAAUUUGUAUUCAGUUUAUAUACCGUCGUUAUCAGAAUAUUUUAUAAGAAUAAUAAUAUUCAAUAAUUUUAAUAAAAAUUUAUAUCAGAUCAAGGUGUAGCUUAUAUUUAAGUAAUAAUGGGUUACAAUAAAUGUAUUUAAACGAAUAAAAUUAUGAAAAAAUUUUUGAAGGUGGAUUUGGUAGUAAAAUUAUAUAGAUAAAUAAUUUGAUUUUAGCUCUAAAAUAUGUACACAUCGCCCGUCGCUCUUAUUAUUAAGGUAAGAUAAGUCGUAACAUAGUAGAUGUACUGGAAAGUGUAUCUAGAAUGAC
rnacentral:ncRNA from 1 species